rnacentral:rRNA from 1 species
GAUGAACGCUGGCGGCGUGCCUAAUACAUGCAAGUCGAGCGAACAGAUAAGGAGCUUGCUCCUUUGACGUUAGCGGCGGACGGGUGAGUAACACGUGGGUAACCUACCUAUAAGACUGGGAUAACUUCGGGAAACCGGAGCUAAUACCGGAUAACAUUUGGAACCGCAUGGUUCUAAAGUGAAAGAUGGUUUUGCUAUCACUUCUAGAUGGACCCGCGCCGUAUUAGCUAGUUGGUAAGGUAACGGCUUACCAAGGCGACGAUACGUAGCCGACCUGAGAGGGUGAUCGGCCACACUGGAACUGGGACACGGUCCAGACUCCUACGGGAGGCAGCAGUAGGGAAUCUUCCGCAAUGGGCGAAAGCCUGACGGAGCAACGCCGCGUGAGUGAUGAAGGGUUUCGGCUCGUAAAACUCUGUUAUUAGGGAAGAACAAAUGUGUAAGUAACUGUGCACAUCUUGACGGUACCUAAUCAGAAAGCCACGGCUAACUACGUGCCAGCAGCCGCCGUAA